ACUAAACAAACUAUGGGGGUGUCAAAGGAAUUAUUGAAUUUGAGCGCGCCUUAAAAAACCAUCGCGCGCAGCGAAGUAAGAGAGAGAUAGGAAGAGAUGGAAGAUAAUUUAACUGAAGACGAAACUUGGAACCCUUGUUCGACUACGGUCGUGUUCAGCCUUUGAUGUUCACGAACUUUGACGAUGUAGAUUCGACGCCGGUUUCGUCGAAAAAGCGGCGGAAGAAAUCGCGUUCGGAUGUAAUAUGUAAGAAUAUGUAAUUUAAUAUUUAGCUUCUAGUUUUAAAAAAAUGAUCGUAUGGGAAAGUAGAUUGUGGAUAUAAGUGAAGGUGUUGAAUAAUUAGUUUGUUUAAGACUAAUGUGGGAGCUUUUUUGGGGAAUUAAUAUGGUGAAUAGAUUGAGAAAAAGGUUAAAGUGGACGUGAAAGGACUAUAAGUUGUGAAUUGUGAUACGAGUAGGAGGAUGAUUAGCUAACUACAUCGCCCAAGGUUUUGGUUGAGAUUCAGCUGGGUGAGGAUUCAACUUUAAAAGCUUAAAGAAGAAAGAGUUGGCGUCAUUUGCUACAGAAGCUGAAGCUGUGCUGUGAGAUGUGGAGUCUGUGAAAAGAAAACUGGGUUUUACAUGAAGCUUCAACAGAGGGUGUGGCUGAUCAGCCAUCAAAGCUUCUCCGUGAAAGAGCUAAAAUAGUUAUUUCUAUCCAGGGCAAGGAAGAACCCAAGCAAUUGCGUGUGUUCAUGAUAAAAGUUUACAUGGGAUGUUCGGAGACAUGUUACUAGUAUAAUCUGUUUGUUUAUCACUCAAGUAAUUUGUUUCAAAUUAUUGGCUUGUGGAUAAUAAUUAGCAAGCUAACUGUCUGCUGUGGACUUGCUUGAAUCUGGAAUUUUAAUCUUCACAUGAAGUCUUGUGCCCCUGAAUUUCUUGAUGUGGACUACACAUUUAGAUGGAAAUAAAGAGAUGGCAAAAUUAAUGCAUAAAGUAAAAUCUUUAUGUGAAUUGUGAGAGGAUCAUAUCUAGAGUGCCCCUCCUAGGACCCUGCUGAGCCAAAAGUAAUUCUGGGUGUUAUACCUUUUUUUCCCCUCUGUAUACAAUAGUUUAUAUUUAAUGUGUUCAAGACAUUGUCUAUUUCUUGUUAAUGUCACAGAUUGCUAAAUAAGAGAAAUCUUAGCAAUUCUAUGCUUUAUGACUCUCCAUCUUCCCCCUUUUUUCUUUGGCAGUAUCUUUGGUAUCUUGAUAUUAUGGUUAAUGUGGAACUUCUUCUAUUUCUAUAGGAUGACAAGUUUGAGCACCUCUUCAUAAUGUAUGCAGAUAAAGUUAAACUUAAUACAAAAAACUUAGUCUUUUGUUUCAAUGGGGACAAUAUUGGUCCAGCAUCUACACCUGCUGGCCUUGGAAUGGAGAAUGAUGACAUUAUUGAAGUCCAUGUGAAAAGAUGACUGUGCUUGGUUAGGUCAUUGCAGAAGAAGCAUUAGGUGGAAUCAACACUGACCCGACGAUGAAUACGAGGAUAUUUGGUAACUUUGUCGACCUUUCAUGUCAUUUACCAAAUCAAUGUUUGAUAUUUUCUUCUUAACCGUUAAGAGCCUCUUCUGUGUAAUGGUGAGAUAUUGCAUGUGCUAUUGCUGGAGAUUAAUAAUCACAUUUUCAUUCUUAUACUAA